UUUUUUGGGAGGCUUUCUGGCCGUGCCCUCGGCAUGUGGAAGUUUCCAGGCCAGAGACUGAACACACACCACAGCAGUGACCCUGCAGUGACAACACCGGAUCCUUAGCCUGCUGCACCCCAGGACAGCUCCUAUAGGUUUUCUUCUGAGAUGAUAAAAAUAUCCUAAAAUUGACUGUGGUGUUGGCUGCCCACAUCUGUGAAUAUACUAAAAAAGAUCUAAUUCUACACUUUAAAUGGGUAAGUUGUAUGAUGUGUGAGUUAUAGCUUACCAAAAGUGUUAAGGGAAAAAAAGAAGAAGAAAGAAAGUCUGCUAAGAGAGCCCCUAGUUUCAAAACACUAAGUCUCUUCAGGGACCCCACUGAUUCUCUCUCAUCUUCAAGGCCUCAUCGAGCAGCCUUGGGCUCAAAGCAGAAGGAAGGUUCCUUACUAAAACCUUCCAGCAAAACAAACUUGUCAUGAUGAUUUGCUAAAUGACAUAAUUAUCACAUGGCUAUAUAACUGGAGUAAGUUAAAAUUCAACUCCUCAAUUUUUCAAUUCUAAUCUCUAAGUGAAAGGUAAUGGAGUAGGUGAUAAAAAAUAAAACCACUCAUGACUAAAUAAAGUUCUAAAUAAAACUACACUAAAACACUAGAAAUAAAAACAUAAGAUUUUGAUUAAGUGAUUUUUGUUGCUAAUUAUCCUAAUGAUAUAUUAAAAAUAUUUGCAAGCGACAACACAAGAGGUGGCAAUCUACACAGCUCCGCAAUUAGCAGCCCCACAAUGUAUCAAAGAAACAUUAACAAAGCAGAUUCAACAAGGUUAUAUUUGAUCUUUAAAACCUACAUAAUAGAUCUGAUUUUAAUGUAGCAUAAUGUGUGUGCUACCUUAGCAACAUACGAUGUUUAUGAAAUAAAGCAGACUUACCAACACAAAGAAAUGUAACAUCAGAAAGUAGAUGACAUUUAGCGCCACGGUUCUCACUGGGGCAUCUCUUGGUCCUCCCUUGCCCAGUGCCGACAGUAAAUGAACAAGGAGAGUGACCAAGACCUAAAAAAGGCAUGGUAACUAGGCUCAAACUCCCCAGUCAUGACAGCCACCCAUCUGGUAAGCCACCUGGACAAGUAGAGAUUCUGGCUAAGAGUCUAGACGGGUGAUGAGGGGAGAGGGUGAUGAGGGGAGAGAGACAGUGAGUGUCAGCUGUGAUCUGGAGACUAGCUGUAGUGGCAGAGGUUGUAAUUUGUCCACUAAUCUCACUCUUGUAAAUUCCCCACACUUUAUAAGAGACCAACCAGAAGGUCGGAGAAGUUGUUCCCAUAUGGCGUGAAAUUACUCCAUAAAAUGAAUCCAAGAGACACAAGGAGUACAGUGUCCAGAUACUCCCUUCAAGACCAAAACAGUCAUUCCUCUAACUUCCCGGACGCAAUGGGAACAACGGGAACCUCCUGGAUAAACCAGCGGGCUGGCUGCUAGCAGCUGACAGCCACAAACUGCUCUCAACCAGAGUCGCAUGGGUUGCAUUCUCUGAAGGCAGACACAGAGAUGGAGUCUGGGGUGCAAGAUACGUCUUAGACGUCAAUACCUGUGAAGGAAAGGCAGCAGACGCAGGACUGAGACGAGGAAGAAGUGAAACUGUAAUGCAGGCCUCACAUCCACGUAUGGCCCUCUGGAACAAGCACUGCCUGUCCCAGAGUUCCAUCGGGGUCAAAGGUAGCUGGACCUUUAUACUCUCACCUUGCUCAGCCACUUGCAAGCUGCCCCUAGAAGACUGUGAUCGCGGGUGAAGCAGCUCACUGCAGCUGAGGCGGACCCCGAAGAAGCGGACAGCUGGACACCAUCUGCUGAAAGAACUCCCUGUCGCUGGGAGGAGAACCAUGCAGCUCCAUCUCUACCGCAGAAAGAAACGGCCCUACCCAAGGUUAUGUCCCUGCCCUCUCAGCUCAGCCCACAUCUAAUUCCAGACGGCUCCGAAGUAUCAUCCAAGCUCCAGGGUUCUCAAAAGGAUUGCCUCAAGCCUCUGCUGCGACCCCAUCAGUUCAACCUCUCUGCCCUCCUAAUCUUGCUUCCCUCACUCUACUACAAGGGUUGUUUCUCAACAAGGCUUUUGCAAGCAAAUCUCCUUCUCAGAGUCUAUUUCCCAGGGAACAUAACCUAAAAAACCUGAUUCCAUAGGAAGAUUCAAUAAAGCAGCAGCUAUGACCUACUCUAUUCAGUAACCUCAUAGGAUAUUAUUUUAUUUCAGCUAGUGCAAACCACGAAAACUUAGGUGUCUAUGGCACAAAUAACAUCAAGCUAUCAUUCUGUUAAAAACAAACAAACAAAAAGGAACUUCCACAGCAGCAUUUAGAAUAAGUAGCAAAACAGGAUAAAUAUAUCAGAGAUGCAAAACUGAAAUAUUUAACUAGCGGAAAUAGCAAAUAAUAGAAUUGUGCUAACCUUUAAAAAAAUAACAUAACUGUUCCAUUCUUAACCUGAAAAUGGGUAGAAUAAAAAAAGUUCAUGAGGAGUUCCUGCCGUGGCUCACUGGUUAACGAAUCUGACUAGGAACCAUGAGGUUGCGGGCUGGAUCCCUGGCCUCUCUCAGCGAGUUAAGGAUCUGGUGUUGCCGUGGGCUGUGGUGUAGGUCUCAGAUGUGGCUCGGAUCCCACGUUGCUGUGGCUGUGGUCCCGAGAAAAGACAAAAAAAAAUUAAAAAUUAAAGAAAUUUUGAAAAAAAAAAAGGUUCAUGAAACACAUCUACCCAUCUUGUAUGCAUCAAGGCUCAAAGACAAUAGAGAAACUUGUGGAAUUUUUAUCAAAUGAAGAUUCUUCUGCAUAAAUUAGUGGUUC
ensembl:lncRNA